AACGAGACCUUAACCUGCUAAAUAGCCCGUAUUGCUUUGGCAGUACGCUGGCUUCUUAGAGGGACUAUCGGCUCAAGCCGAUGGAAGUUUGAGGCAAUAACAGGUCUGUGAUGCCCUUAGAUGUUCUGGGCCGCACGCGCGCUACACUGACAGAGCCAACGAGUUCUUCUCCUUGGCCGGAAGGUCUGGGUAAUCUUGUGAAACUCU
rnacentral:rRNA from 1 species